GUACCAAAUAAUUAAUGCUCUGUAAUCAUUUAAAAGUAUUUUGAACGGACCUCUGUUUGACACGUCUGAAUAACUAAAAAAACAAAAAUUUGCCACCUAAGUGGCUUUUUUU
rnacentral:ncRNA from 22 species